rnacentral:rRNA from 1 species
AACGAACGCUGGCGGCAUGCCUAACACAUGCAAGUCGAACGAAGCCUCCGGGCUUAGUGGCGCACGGGUGCGUAACGCGUGGGAACCUACCAUCAGGUUCGGAAUAACAGUUAGAAAUGACUGCUAAUACCGGAUAAUGUCUUCGGACCAAAGAUUUAUCGCCUUUUGAUGGGCCCGCGUAAGAUUAGGUAGUUGGUGGGGUAAAGGCCUACCAAGCCGACGAUCUUUAGCUGGUCUGAGAGGAUGAUCAGCCACACUGGGACUGAGACACGGCCCAGACUCCUACGGGAGGCAGCAGUGGGGAAUAUUGGACAAUGGGCGAAAGCCUGAUCCAGCAAUGCCGCGUGAGUGAUGAAGGCCUUAGGGUUGUAAAGCUCUUUUACUGGGGAUGAUAAUGACAGUACCCAGAGAAUAAGCUCCGGCUAACUCCGUG